UACGUAGGGUGCGAGCGUUGUCCGGAAUUAUUGGGCGUAAAGAGCUUGUAGGCGGUUUGUCGCGUCUGCUGUGAAAAUCCGGGGCCCAACCCCGGACUUGCAGUGGGUACGGGCAGACUAGAGUGUGGUAGGGGAGACUGGAAUUCCUGGUGUAGCGGUGGAAUGCGCAGAUAUCAGGAGGAACACCGAUGGCGAAGGCAGGUCUCUGGGCCACUACUGACGCUGAGAAGCGAAAGCAUGGGGAGCGAACAGG
rnacentral:rRNA from 1 species